UUCUAUGGCAAAGGUAUGAGAGGGAAUGAAAGACCCUAGUGGGGAGACUCCCACUCAAGUCCCGAGAUAGCACGCACCCAAGGAAUCAUGAGAGACC
rnacentral:pre_miRNA from 7 species